GAUGCUAAAGAAAAGAGAUGGCUAAGGGGCGUAGCGGGAAGUCAAGCAGGAAAGUCAUCAGUGACGGCGUAUUCUCUACCCGACAGGAGCUAUGUUGAUGCCCCCUACCAAGGAAGGGGUAACUUCCCGCUGAAAGCCCGACCCCUUCCCAAUGUUUUCAAUGCGGAAGGAAGAAUCUCGGAUAGUUGGUUCAUGCGUUAGGUCAACCAUUCCUCUAGCAUUCCGAAGUGAGAAGCCAAGUGAACGAGCCCUGUUUUUCGAGAAUGCAAGUUCCAUUCGCAAAGCCCAAGCCAAAAGCGAGUAG